rnacentral:rRNA from 1 species
AGUGAACGCUGGCGGUAGGCCUAACACAUGCAAGUCGAGCGGCAGCACAGUAAGAGCUUGCUCUUACGGGUGGCGAGUGGCGGACGGGUGAGGAAUACAUCGGAAUCUACUUUUUCGUGGGGGAUAACGUAGGGAAACUUACGCUAAUACCGCAUACGACCUACGGGUGAAAGCAGGGGAUCUUCGGACCUUGCGCGAUUGAAUGAGCCGAUGUCGGAUUAGCUAGUUGGCGGGGUAAAGGCCCACCAAGGCGGCGAUCCGUAGCUGGUCCGAGGGGAUGAUCAGCCACACUGGAACUGAGACACGGUCCAGACUCCUACGGGAGGCAGCAGUGGGGAAUAUUGGACAAUGGGCGCAAGCCUGAUCCAGCCAUACCGCGUGGGUGAAGAAGGCCUUCGGGCUGUAAAGCCCUUUUGUUGGGAAAGAAAAGCAGCAGGUUAAUACCCCGCUGUUCUGACGGUACCCAAAGAAUAAGCACCGGCUAACUUCGUG